rnacentral:rRNA from 1 species
UACGGGGGGGGCAAGCGUUGUUCGGAAUUACUGGGCGUAAAGGGCUCGUAGGCGGCCAACUAAGUCGGAUGUGAAAUCCCCAGGCUUAACCUGGGAAUUGCAUCCGAUACUGGAUGGCUUGAAUCCGGGAGAGGGAUGCGGAAUUCCUGGUGUAGCGGUGAAAUGCGCAGAUAUCAGGAGGAACACCAAUGGCGAAGGCAGCUCGCUGGGACGGUACUGACGCUGAGACGCGAAAGCGUGGGGAGCAAACAGG